ACCCUCUUACCAUACCUUUGUUCCAAAAAUCUUUUAUUGGACUCAUCUGCUUGCAGGUAUUCAUUUCGUAAGUCCAUUAAUUUCUCUAGAAAGUGAAAUGGAAAAUUAACUUUUACUAAUGGUUACUAAAAAUAACUUAAAAUGGCACUUUUUUUUCCAACUCGGACCAGACAGAAUGGCUCCCGCAAAGAAGGGUGGCGAGAAGAAAAAGGGCCGUUCUGCCAUCAACAAGGUGGUGAUCCUAGAACACACCAUCAUCAU